rnacentral:rRNA from 1 species
UACAGAGGUCCCAAGCGUUGUUCGGAUUCACUGGGCGUAAAGGGUGCGCAGGUGGGUUGGCAAGUUUGAUGUGAAAGCCCCGGGCUUAACCCGGGAAUGGCAUUGAAUACUGCUGAUCUGGAGGAUUGGAGGGGGACUGGAAUUCUUGGUGUAGCAGUGAAAUGCGUAGAUAUCAAGAGGAACACCAGUGGCGAAGGCGAGUCCCUGGACAAUACCUGACACUGAGGCACGAAAGCCAAGGGAGCAAACAGGAUUAGAA